UUUCACAGGUGUUUGCAGAAAAAAUGGGCCUGGAGACAGGCUGGAACUGCCACAUCUCCCUCACACCCAACGGUGACAUGCCUGGCUCCGAGAUCCCCCCCUCCAGCCCCAGCCACGCAGGCUCCCUGCAUGAUGACCUGAAUCAGGUGUCCCGAGAUGAUGCAGAAGGGCUCCUCCUCAUGGAGGAGGAGGGCCACUCGGACCUCAUCAGCUUCCAGCCUACGGACAGCGACAUCCCCAGCUUCCUGGAGGACUCCAACCGGGCCAAGCUGCCCCGGGGUAUCCACCAAGUGCGGCCCCACCUGCAGAACAUUGACAACGUGCCCCUGCUAGUGCCCCUUUUCACCGACUGCACCCCAGAGACCAUGUGUGAGAUGAUAAAGAUCAUGCAAGAGUACGGGGAGGUGACCUGCUGCCUGGGCAGCUCUGCCAACCUGCGGAACAGCUGCCUCUUCCUCCAGAGCGACAUCAGCAUUGCCCUGGAUCCCCUGUACCCGUCCCGUUGCUCCUGGGAGACCUUUGGCUACGCCACCAGCACCAGCAUGGCCCAGGCCUCGGAUGGCCCUUCUCCCCUGCAGCUGU
rnacentral:sRNA from 1 species